UGGGGAAUUUUGGACAAUGGGCGAAAGCCUGAUCCAGCAAUGCCGCGUGUGUGAAGAAGGCCUUCGGGUUGUAAAGCACUUUUGUCCGGAAAGAAAUCCUUGGCUCUAAUACAGUCGGGGGAUGACGGUACCGGAAGAAUAAGCACCGGCUAACUACGUGCCAGCAGCCGCGGUAAUACGUAGGGUGCAAGCGUUAAUCGGAAUUACUGGGCGUAAAGCGUGCGCAGGCGGUUUGCUAAGACCGAUGUGAAAUCCCCGGGCUCAACCUGGGAACUGCAUUGGUGACUGGCAGGCUAGAGUAUGGCAGAGGGGGGUAGAAUUCCACGUGUAGCAGUGAAAUGCGUAGAGAUGUGGAGGAAUACCGAUGGCGAAGGCAGCCCCCUGGGCCAAGUACUGACGCUUAUGCACAGAAGAGCGUGGGGAGCAAACAGGAUUAGAUACCCUGGUAGUCCACGCCCUAAAACGAUGUCAACUAGUUGUUGGGGGAUUCAUUUCCUUAGUAACGUAGCUAACGCGUGAAGUUGACCGCCUGGGGAGUACGGUCGCAAGAUUAAAACUCAAAUGAAUUGACGGGGUCAUAGCUGUUUCCU
rnacentral:rRNA from 1 species